CAGCCUCUUCCAUUGCUCUUUCCCUAGCAAUGGCACUCUUCUGCCUCCCCGAUCUGCCUGAGAGCCUCCUGCACGCGGCGGACUUAUUCUCAUCUGCCUCAGCUCGCCGUCCUCCUGCUGUCGCACAGCGGCGCGACUACCACGACGCCGCUCGCUUCCCUCCUGCCGACCUCCUCUCCUCCCAGUUCUCUGUAGUGCGCGUCCUCCACGCCGACCUCGCGUGUGCGCCGCCUGCCCCUUCACACCAACGCCGCCACCUUGCCGCCGUCCCGGCGAGCCACCAGACAGCUGCCGCUGGCCUCUCCAUUCUCCGUCGCGCCUGUCUACCCUCCGCCUCCCCUUGCUUCCGUGACGUGGCCUCCAAUAUUGCAAAGGUAAUUCCUGCAAUUUACCCUCUUCUCUCUUCUCUUCCCCAUUCUGAUUGCAAUGGAGAUUAAUUAAUUACAUCAUGGAUCUAAUUUAGUGUUUUAUAACCGAUUUGGUCUCAGUUGGUAGAUUUAGUGGGAACCUCACCUCAAUCGAUGAUAGUUCAACUGUCUCUGCUCCAAAUCUGCAGGUCUCUGCUCCAAAUGUCUGCUGAGCAUCUUCUUCAAUGAGCCAAAAUCAAUCGCUUGGUGCAGUUCCAGUUUGUGCUUACUAUACAAUACUAAUUUCUAAGAGGCUACAUCUCAAGAAGGUACACAUUUCUCUGCCACCAGUUUCUGCAGGCCCGUCUGCCUGUUUCAAGCACACUAACUUCUUUGUAUGCUCUAGGUCUGAAUAACACUGUGUAGUAUUUGAACAAAUUUUAAACCAAUGUUAGUAGCAAACCAAAAGCAUCAGCCUCGUCUUCACAUAGUAGGUUCAAAUCAGUCUGGUUGAUACAGCAAUCCAGAGCCACAAUAUAGUAUGAAAAAAGGACUGCAAGUUGCAAAUGCAAGUAUACAUGCUCAGAGGUGCUAAAUUUGCACACAUAAUUUGCACAAUCAUAAUGGAGAUCAUCAAUGUGAUCAAAAUUUAAUCCAUGUAUUAAUUGGACACAUCAUAAAGAAAUAACUAUGAAUGAGUGAGUGGUUCCAGACAUGAAGAUAUGCUCCUUGAAGAUGCUGAAGUAGUUUCAAAUUCUAACUCCGAAGUUGACUUUUGGAUUCUUAUGUAGAAUCAAUGGUUCUGUAGAAUUGAAAUAAUGAAUGUAAGGUUAGAAAAUUAGCAAUGUAAUGUGAAACUUAAAUGCGUAAGUUGUUAGUAAAUGAACUUACAAAUUUUGAAAAAAGAUUUCAAAGGUUGCAUUACCUAUUUGGUGAGGACUUCUGUGUAGACAAUAUUUUUUGUGUAUGCCCUGUUUGUACUAAUUGUUUGAUUAUUCCUCUUUUUGUCCUUCUUUGUAUUUGUGCCUUUUGUACCGAUCUUCUUAUUAUUUCCCGUCUUCUUCUCCUUCGUUUUGUUCUCCUUUGUGUCUGUGUCUCCUGCACUGAUCUUCUUAUCCGUCCCCUUGUUCUCAUCAUGUGUUGCUGUUAAUACUUUUAUGUUUGAUGUCGAGGUCGCUCUAGAAAGAGCGACAUAUAGUUGACCAUGUGAGAAAACCGGUUCAGGCAGGUAGACACCGACAUUUGGUAUUGUCUGACCUUGUGAUUUGCUUAUUGUCAUUGCAAAACUUAGUCUCACUGGAAAUUGUUUCCUCUUGAAAUUGAACGGGAACAUGUCGUCGUCAGAUGGGCAUAAUGGUAUCCGUGGCAAGAAAACUCGCAUUCCAGAGUGCUGCCCUACUACAAUCUCUGCAUCAAUUGCAUUUUUCUGGAAUCCACGCACGACCAAUCUUGUGCCAUUGCAGAGUCCAUUAGCGGGGUCAAUAUUCCUCAGUAGUAUGAUUGGACAAUUUAUUUUCAGCUUUAGCAUAUGUGGAGGCAGUCCAUUUGGGGUGAGGGUGUUUAGGAAUUCUGGUGGAUAGUAGUUAUGUGGGUCGUCUUCUACAGAGUCGAAGCUGUGGUACACCAUCUCCUCUCCUUUGAAGCGAUCAAUCAUUUUUAGGUUUAUUCUGUCUACAGAGUCGUUCCUUGUGGAUAAAAUUGCUCUUGACGUGAUGUAUUUUGGAUCUUUUAGGGAAGCAUUGUCCAUUCCGUAGACACUGUCGAUGAGUCUAUCCAGGCCAUUAUCAUCCGUCUUAUUUGGCACGCAUAUACUUGCAGGUAGAAGUAUUUCACUAUCAUCAUUUGUCUCCUCGGUUCCGUUUCCAAUGCGUAGUAGGUAUUCUGCGAACCACUUGUCAUUUUGAGCCCUCAUGUUGUGCACAAGCUUCAAUUGACGCAUGGAAUUCCAGAGCUUGGACCUGCAUAGUGAUGCAUCUACUAUCUGGGCUCUUGUUCCCUUUCGAACAACGGGGAGCACUUGCCUAAAGUCUCCUCCAAAUACGACUGUUUUUCCACCGAAUGGAAGAUCUGGUCUGUCCAUUAUGUCCCGCAUGCUUUUGUCUAGCGCCUCCACUGUCUGCCUCUUAGUCAUAGAUGCUUCAUCCCAGAUUAUUAGUGAUGCUGCUUGGAGUAGCUUGGCUGUCCCACUUUGUUUUGUGAAUCCACAAAUAGCUCCAUCAUCUAUUUUUAGUGGAAUCUUGAACCUCGAGUGUGCGGUCCUCCCUCCGGGCAUUAUGGAAGCAGCAACACCGGAAGUGGCCGUCGCCACAGCAAUCUUGCCUUGUCCGCGUAUUGUGGCCAAGAGUGCCCUGUAAAGAAAAGUUUUUCCUGUGCCUCCCGGUCCAUCGACAAAGAAUAAGCCUCCUCUUUGGCGGUCAAUUGCGUGUAAGAUUUCAUCAUAGGCCUUUCUCUGCUCGUUGUUUAGGUUUCUAUGUAAAGUUGCGUCCUCCGGGUCCACCUCGAUUGAGGUCUCCUCGAUGAUCUCCCUAGGUACGUCGUCUGCCGUCUCAUGUUGUUUCUCGAUCUCUGGAAGAGGAAAUGAUUUUAUGUCUUUUCCCAUUGAGUGCAACAUGUCUCUGAUAUUUCUAAGCACCAUCUGUUCGACCGUGUGCUUGCAUUUGCAGUUUCUGUUGUAGUCUUCUGACAUUGACUCAAGGUGUUUGUUCCAGAGGCUACGGACGUUGCUAGGCUCGCAAAACACCAGGAUUGUCGCGAAUAGCCUUCGUAGCGAUGAUGGCAUUCGAAACAACUCCGCUUCUGUCAUGCAAUCAUCCAAUGUGUUGUCUGCCUCAAUGAGCCCCCGUUUUUCUGCAGCUUCACGGAAGGUUGGCAUUAGUUGUGCUUCAACUGUUCUUAGGUCUUCGUAGCUGGUGGCGCCUGUCACAUGGUUUAGGAGAACUCGAAGAUAGUAUCGUUCUCCUUCAGCCGGGUGUGCUGAGACGAUUCUGCCAACCUGGAACAGAGCGGCCCGUUUUCUCUCUUGCCAAAACUUCCCGCGUGUUUGCCAAGUAUAAUAUUCCGGGAAGUCUCUGUAUAGUAUGCCUCGUGCUUUCUCAUGUAAGCUGUUUGCAUGAAAGUACGCUGUCAACAUUGAUAUAUCUGUGCCUUCACGGUCGAUAACAUUCUUUAUUUUUUCUUUGCCAUGAUAUGAAACCAUGUGCAUAUUUGGGAGAUGCAGCUGUAGUUGCAAGACUGGCGGGUGCAUUUUGCUUAGUUCGAAGCCAUAUAUUCUCCACAGUGCUUCUGGUGGCGUCACCCAGCGUGCGUCUCGGUAUUGUUGAAUCUCGUCGAUUUCGGCUUCAUUUGCUUUGUCAGUUACAGAUACAGAUGCUCGAUCAUGACCCUUGUAGAUGUACUUGAAUAGGUACUUAACGGCUUUAAUGCUUGAGCAUAUCUCAACAUUUAUGUGGCAGUUGAACAUCCUUAAUAGAUAAGGGUUGUAAGGAACCACCCACCUGUUAUCCAGUUUGCAAUUUCGGACCGUUUCAGUCCGACCGUCAUUGCGUCUCUUAUAUAUUGGGUCGGAGUCCUUGCCUUGAAUCGUAGUUUCGGUAAAUGGCCUUGGGUAAUUGUUCUUGCAUGACGAACGAUUCUUUGUGCAUGGACAUAAUUUAUUCAAUGCACCACAAGGACCAUGCAUCAUAUGUUUGAUUACCAUUUUGUAGAGUUCUGGGUACUUGUGCUUGUUAGGGAGCUCAGCGGAGAUGAUUCUGUCAUACUGUUCUGGACAUGUGUACUUAUAUUUUCCGGUCAUGAUCAGCAAAAAGUGAGCAUGUGGCAAUCCCCUCUUUUGGAAUUCUACAACAUAUGUAUAUGCCUUAACCUUUCCGAGAAUGGCCUUCUGAAAUAGUUGCUUCUUCAUUUCUUCUAGCUUCGCCCUGAAAACACGAACUACAAUAUCUGGGCGAUCUUGUGGUGUUUGCCCGGAUUGUAGUUCACGUGUGAUCUCGUCCCAAUUGGGGUUGCAGGUCAUUGUGAGGAAUAUGUCUGGCUUUCCAUAUUUUCUAACCGAAGCCAUAGCAUCUAGAUACCGGCGAAGUUUAUCGCGUGGUCCUCCAAUAAAUGAUGAUGCAAGUACCCUCUGUUUUCCGACUGCGUUUCCCUUUUCUUCUCCAGCUUGAAUGCUGUCUAGAAGGCCUUGAUAUAGAUCUGCCCUUAUUUCCUUUUGAUGAUGCCAGAUGUAAUCUAGUCUAGAGCUUUCAAUCUUGAUGUAUGUAUCUACAGCAAACUGCUGGAAAAGUCGUCCGCCAUGCAAUAUUGGGUUGAAUAUGUUUGGCCGUGUAUGCAAUUUAUAGCAAUAGUAUUCUUUCAUCGUUACCCACAGGCCAUUGACUGAAUCUGUGCAAAUAAUGAAAAGUUAGUUGCAUAUAUAUGUAGAAAUGUUUGGUAUAUGUAAAUUUAAUUUUGGAUAGAACAAUGUCUGAAAAUUUACCUGGUUCAUCAUCAUCAUUGAUAUCAUCAGCAUCAAUACCUUCCUCUCGUGUAUCCUUCUUUGGGAUUUUCCUAUGCCAACCCAGCUCAGCUCUUGGAAAGAACAAAGGGUACGACAAUGGAUCAUAACACCCAUAAUAUGAUCGAAUGUGCUCUAUUUCGUUGUUGUUCCCAUGUAGUAUUACACUCUUGUCAUAAGUAUCUCUUCUUUCAUUUCCUUCAAUCCACACUGCAGCUACCUCUGAAUUGAUUGGUGCAUUGUAAGUUCUCUGGUCCAAUCUUUGGUCAAGGUUCAAUAUGAGUCUGUAGUCCUCAAGGUUCUGGGAUUGUCCCAAACUCCUAAACUGUUGAGAGUAUGGGUUAUCGCGUAGAAUGUCGGUUAUUAUUCGAAUCACCUGCUUGUCUUGCUCGUACAUUUCCUCGCGGCAACGGCGGUACCGAUGCUCCAAGCUUGGAUCAUCAUCGUAGAAGUAUAGCUCCAGAUGCUUUGGAUCUGAGUGACUGUUACCGAAUGAGUGUAUAUUAUGGUAGAUUUGACCAUGUGCUCGAAACGUGUAUAUACCAGAUGUUCGUAUGUCGGUUGUUUCUUUAUCAAGGUUGCAGUAUAAAGUAGUAAACGAGAAGUGUCCAUUGAAAAAUCUUAUAUUGUUCCGAAAAUGUCUUGCAUCAGAGUCGUUGCUUGUCCAAAGUCUCUUGAGCUCAGGUGGUGUAUCUGGAUUGGCUAGUCUUAUCUUUCCUUUUCUGCAGCAUAGCCCCUUAGUUUCAUUCUUGAAUUUUGUUGCAUGGCAGAAGCUGCAAUUUGGUACCGUUUUGAGCACAUGUGUGUUCUUCGGUAUGUUGCUAUGGACGAAAUCAUACGGGUCGGAGUUGUGAAAUUCAUCAUCUUCUGUGAUUUCGAUUUCCACUUCUCUUUCCCAUUCUAGUUUGUUUUGUAGCAUCAAAAAAUUAGUAUAGGGUCAAUAUAAGAUGCAAAUAUAUUUAAAUUGUACUGAGCAUACCUUGACCCGAAAACAUGUAUUCGUACUCGUUUGUGUCUUCUUCAAAUAUGACUUUAUCAUAACCGUGAUCCUCAUUGUAAAUUGAUUGUGUUGGUGCAUCUACCACUUUGAUGAUUGCAUUUCUCUCACAUAUUACUUCAUCAUUACCUGUGUAGUAAUUUUUUAUUGUCAUACACACACAUACAUAUAAUCUUUGUAUUGGAUAAUAGUAUAUAUGAUAUUGGUAAUCUUACCGUGAUCAUCAUUAUAUAAUGAUUGUAUUCGUGCAUUUACUUCUUUGAUUGUUGGCAACAUUGAAGAGGGAAUGUCGUCCCACGAAGCUACAUUAGAUGUUUGUGUUGGGGCAUCCACUUCUUUGAUGCUUGGAAACAUUGAUGAGGGGAUGUCUGUCCAGAAAAGAUGAUUAGUUGUCCAGACAUGUGUAUAUCUAUUUUGAAUGACAGUCUAUUGUAUAAAAUUUAGAGUAUUACCGUAAAUCAUGACUUCUGGUUGCUGUAGAGGUUCUGUGUCAUUGUUGCCGGUUUCCGUCAUGGAAGCGUCUUCAGAAGCAGUUUUCGGCCGUCUUGUCAUGAAUUCUUCGUUACGACGGUGUAGCAAUGCUUGUCUUUCUCCUGGCGUCACAUGUUUUUUGUGUUUUACAGGAAAGUUAGAAGUACUAACUUCCUGUUCGGUUGCAAUAUAUGCAGGGUUCUCCAUUGCAAUUGAGUCUUUGCUUGCUGUGUUGCGCUUCAACUCAUUUAUAUUUUCUAUUCUAGCUUUCUUUUGUGUUGGCUCCAUAUUUGCAUAUAUCUGCCUUUGUUGGGCGCAUAUUUUUUCUUUCUUUUGUUGAUAGGCUUCACGGCGCUUUUUGAGUUUUUUCUGUUUUUUUUCAUCGGUCAUCUGUGCAUUGUGCUCUGCUAUUUUUUCUUUCUGUUUUUGAUAGGCUUCACGGCGUUUUUUGAGUUGCUCCUGCCUCUUUUCAUCGGUCAUCUGUGCAUAACGCUAUCUGUCUCUUUUUCUUCUUUGUUCCUUAGCAUCCAUUACUGGAGAUUGUCAGAAAUGCCUGCCUGCAUGAGAUUUUUCAAUUAUAAGUAAUUAUUAUUUAUUUAUUCUUCAAACAACACUGACAUUAGCAAGUGCAAUGCAAACAAAGGAAUUAUAUAUUUCUUCUGGGGAAAUCUUUGAGGCUGUUCAGACUGUAUUGAUAUUGUUUGCACUCCCUUUUUCAUAGCAGAAAUAGAAUGUCCUACAAGUCUGAAUUGUUACUUUCAGUAUCAUUGACCAAUGAUCUGUUGCACAUGUUUUGAUCAGGGUGUAGGGGCAUACAGGUGAGUUGAGAAGCGCGCACAGACAGAGCAAACAACCCAGACUGAAAAAGGGGAGAAUUUGGUAUGGCUAUAGGCGAAUCUAGCUGCUAGAAGUUCAAACUAUAUUUGUGUUAGUUUACUUUUCCUUUCUCAUAGAAGAAACAGACUGCCUAAAAGUAAAGUUUCUGCUAUCUUCAUCGUAAGAGUCAUUGACCUAUGUGAUAUGUUCUGUCAAAUUAACAUACUGCUGCCAAGUAUGUGCCUUUGGCUCUAUUUAAUGAAAACGGGAUGCAAAUUUGUCAUGCAUGGAAACAGAUAAGAAAAGUACCUGAUGUAAACCUGACUUGUCAAACAGCUUACUUGAAUUGAAGCUCACAAGGCACGUGUGAAACUGAUUCUGGUUAAUUGAACCAAAGAACGGGAUUGUGUGAGAAUCAGCGUGGACAUAUGGGUGUAUUUGUAGCACCAACUGUGCCUUAUCUCAAGUAGGUUUCGGACUGUUGUACCUCUCUUUUAUAAGCGUGUUCACUUUUCAGUUCCCGUGUAUACCUUUUUGGUGUUAUUUUGAUGCAGAGUCGGACAAGGUUAAGACGUGCCUCUUUUUUUUGAGAAACCUGCCUUUUUUUCAAUCGUAUAGGAAGGGAGUACUGAGCCGAAAUACCCAGCAUAGUGCAGCGGCCCAAACGAACUCCUGGCCCGGGAAGGCGCUUUGUCCGUGGCUUGUUGACCUGCUCUUUGUGCAGGAGGCCCAGCACCCAUCAACGGACUUAAAGCAACGGACUUAAAAUUGAGAUCAGCCCUUUAGUACCACCUCGUCACCUCGUACGUGACUUUAGUACCACCUCGCCAUCUCGCACGUGACCAAAACUAAUGGUAGAAAAAAAAUCAAUUGCGGGACGAAACUAAGAAUAUCACCUUGCUUUAAUAGUAG
rnacentral:lncRNA from 1 species